CCUACUCGUCCUCCGCCUCCUUCCUCCCCCACCCAGCCCUUACACCGCCCAGCGCCCCGCCGCCCGCGUUACAGGCGUCUGGGAAUCGCUCGCCGAGCCCGCGCCCGCCAGCUUCGGCUGUAGAGCCGAAACCCAAGCCGGAACCAAUCAGAGACGUCGCUUGCUUGCAGCUCCUGCCGGAAAAAGCCGAGCGACCUGGAUAACCAAUGAGGAGACGCCGCUGGGAGACCACGCCCCAGCAACGAGGAAUGCCGAAGGAUCGCUGACGGGAAAUACCUGGAGGGAGUUCAUAUCAAACGAUGGACAGUAACAAGUAAAGAAUUGAAUA
rnacentral:lncRNA from 1 species